rnacentral:rRNA from 1 species
CCAAUAGCGUAUAUUAAAGUUGUUGCAGUUAAAAAGCUCGUAGUUGAAUUUCGGGAUCAGUGCGCUGGUCGUGCCUUGUGUAUGUACUGGUGCUACUGGUUCCUACCUUCUGACGAACCGUCAUGUCAUUAAUUUGGUGUGGCGGGGAAUCAGGACUGUUACUUUGAAAAAAUUAGAGUGUUUAAAGCAGGCUCGCGCUUGAAUACAUUAGCAUGGAAUAAUGAAAUAGGACGUUCGAUCCUAUUUUGUUGGUUUCUAGGAUUGACGUAAUGAUUAAUAGUGUUAGUUGGGGUCAUUAGUAUUCAAUUGUCAGAGGUGAAAUUCUUGUAUUUAUUGAAGACUAACUACUGCGAAAGCAUUUGCCAAGGAUGUUUUCAUUAAUCAAGAACGAAAGUUAGGGGAUCGAAGACGAUCAGAUACCGUCGUAGUCUUAACCAUAAACUAUGCCGACUAGGGAUCGGAUGAUGUUAAUUUUUUAAUGACUCAUUCGGCGCCUUACG